AGUCCGAAAGCGCAAUUCAUGAGUUAUCUGACUCGGUUUGGAUAUAGUUUUUGCACAGGUGAAGUACGAAGCCAAGUAUGAAGCUAUGAAGCGUAUGAACAAAGAGUAGCAUAUGUGUUGUAAUAGUAGGCAGUAGUAGGCAUAUCUGGGUUGUGGUGUAGUGUAAAGAUUGUAAUAGACAAAUUUAAUGUUGGUUUGGACGAAUUUCAUUUUCUCCCUAGCCUGUUU